AUUGCACUCUAGGCUGGCCACAGAGCAAGACUCCAUCUCAAAACAAACAAACAAACAAACAAAAAUUCUUUGAGCUAUACAGCUAUGUCUGCUUUUGUGUUUAUAUAUGUCAUACUUGCAAAAAUUAUUAAAAUAUGAAGAUAUGAAGUCCUUGGCAGUCUGCGUCUCACAGAAAUAUAGGAUUGGUUUUCAGGAUUUAAAUACAAGCAAUCUUUUAAAAGUCUUUUAAGUAAUUAACUGAAAGGACAGUCUAAAUGAGGUAUAAUUAAGUCAAAUAUAUUGCGGAAAAAGAGUUGUAGCUGCUGUUGUACUGGAUGAAGACCUCUAUAUGUUCAAAAGUAUUAUUUAUUUAAAUGUUUUGGAAAUGGUUUGAAACAUCGAACAGUACAGUUGCUACACUAGGAAAAUAACGUAGGCAAUUCUCUUUCAACAUAUUUUCCUAAGUGUCUAAGGAUUUAUUUUCAGUUGUAAUGUAGUGAAAUUUUUGUUAAAUGGAAUUUGAUUUUUUAGUACACUAUUUUUAUAUUAAAGAUGAAGUUGAUUUGUCAUUAUUUCAUCCAUAUGUUUCUCUUUCUUUGAUGAGACAAAAUCUACAAUUUCAGUAUGUGUAUUUUUCAUGUCUGCAAAAUGGGUAUAUUACUACAAGUUCAAAAACUAACAUAAAACAGAAUGGAAAAUCAUGGAUAUUUCAAAUAUUAAACAAUGUCACCAUGGAUAAUUAUAUGAAAUUGGAUCCAUCCACAAUAUUUUCCAUUAUCAAGGACUGACAAUCAUGGAAGAAUAAUUGUCCAUAUAUUAUUUCCCUUGGACACUGAAUUUACUAAUUUAUGAUAUAAUUUUAGUAUGGGGAAGUGCUAGAGACAACUUUUGUUAAACUUUCUUCCAAAUCUAAGAUGCUUUCAUUAGAGUGUGCAUCCUCUUCUCCCCCUCUUCCUCCUCUUCCUCCCCCUCUUCUUCUUCCUCAUCUUUUGGUUUUGGGCAUUACUUCUAUUGGAAUAGCACUGUCUUACAGAGCAUACAGAGCAUGCAACUUGCAACAUAAACUAGCCCUGAGAUGAAGAUUCCUCUCCCAUUUUGUAUGCUGGAUAAUUCUUACAUAAGAGAUAAUGGUAUAAGUUUUAUAAGAUUAGAUAAUAAAAUCUAGCCUUUCUCUUGGUACAAACAUUUAUAUUCAUUUUUUAAACCAUAGAUUUAAAUAAGCAGCUUGAAAUUUAUUUUUCCGAAAAUCUUCCUAACAAUGUGUAUCAGGUAAAUGGUAAAUGAGGUGUAAAGUAGUUCUCAAAACUGUCAAUUUCUCAGUGAGGCAUGUGCAGUAGAAGAGUGUUAUUACUUCACCCAUGCAACUUUGUUACAGGAAAUUAGAAGAGCUAGGUCACUUUAGCUGUUUAACACCUGAAUUUCAUUUUGUGAUAAAUCCUUUACUCUUCUUGAAUCUCACCUGGUGCACAGGUAAUGCAAGGAGCAGAAGACUUACUACUUAGAGAAACUGUUAUUUUCUAUUGGUGCAAUAACGAAUUACGACAGCAACAAACUACUCCAGAUUUAGCAUCUUAGAACAAAAUUGUAUUAUCUCACAGUUCUGGAGGUGAGAAUUCCAAUGGCUGUCCCUGGGCUUCACUUAAGAUAUUGGCAGGGCUGACUGCUUUCUGGAAUAUAUAAGUAGGAUCCUUUUCCUUGCCUUUUUUGACUUCUAGAGGCUAUCUACAUUCCCAGGCUCAAGGCUUCCUUCCUUCACCUCCAAAGACAAUAAUUCUGCAUCUGUCUAAUCCCAUCUCUAUUAUCAAAUCUCUCUGACUAGAGCUGGAAAGGCUCUCUACUUUUCAAGAAUUCAUGUCAUUAGAUUGAGCCCACCUAGUUAAUCCAGGAUAAUCUCCCCUAUAUAGGUUCUUAACUUUAAUCCUAUCUGCAAAGCCUCUUUUUCAGGUAAGAUAUUUCAGGUAAGUAUAUGUUUUUCAGGUAAGAAUAUGUUUCAGGUAACAUAUUCAUUGGGUAUAAAGAUUAGGAUGUAGACAUCUUUGGGAGUGGGGGGACAUUACUCUGUCUACCACAAUAAGAAAGUGUAUUAAUGUGUUAUUUAAAUAUUGGGGUUCCUUUGAAGAUGAAGGAACACAUUAUGCAAAUUUUUAAAAUACUCAUUUGAAGGCAGUAUCUAGGGCACCAAGUAUCUAGGGCAGUAUCUAGGGCACAUGACCAGUCAAACUUCAUGUAUAAUGAACAAAACAACAGUGAAGUGGUGUUAUUACUUAGCAGGAAGAAAAGGCCAUUCAGGUUUUUAUUCUUUAGUGUAUAUUACCCGGCGGUGAUGUCUUUUGCUUGCCUCCCAAGGUGUGAAUUCCUUUCAUGUAUGUAGGUAUUUGUGAUCAUGAAGACUAUUGAUGAAAGACUAUGAUGAAGACUGUUUCCCACCUUUCCUUAUACACUGUAAGUCCCCCUCUCUACUCCCUGGCAGGCAGAUUAUGGCCAUAUAAUCUACACUCUGCCAGCCCAAUGUGCCCAUGCCAAAUGCCUGUUGGCCAGUUCACUGGUAAUGUAUCAGUGCCCUCAGAUAAGUUCUGCAUCAUGACCUGAAUGUGGGUCCUACAGCCCAGUAUCCCUUGUGUGUGUGUGUGUGUGUGUGUGUGUGUGUGUGUGUGUGUGUGUGUGUGUGGUUUGUUCUCUACACUGUUGAUUCUAAGAGCCAUCUGAUAUCCUUAAAUAAAUUGCAUCCCUGACUACACAAGCCAGCAUAAGGAACUGCUAUUUACAAACAAGAAUGCAUAUCUGAGCCUGUGUCUUCUUGUUCCCAAACUCAAGGAAAUAAGUGAUUUAGCAGAAACUAAUAAAAAACUUGGAUCUACUGAUAUUUUAAUCUGUCUUGAAUAUGUAUUUUGUUAUUUUAAUCACCAAAAAUCUGGUAAGGGAAUUAUGUUACAGAGAGAAUUUAAUAAUAACUGUUUCAAAUGCCUCAUGUUCUCACUUAUUCGUAGGAGCUAAGCGAUGGGUACACAUGGAUGUACAGAGUGGAAUGAUGGACAUUGGAGACUGUAAAAUUUAGGAGAGUAGGAUGGAGGUGAUAGAUGAGAAAUUACCCAUUGGGUACAACUUAACCGAUUCAGGUGAUGAUUACACUAAAAGUCCAGACUUCACCACAACACAAUCUAUUCAUAUAACAAGAAUGCACUUGUAGCCCCCAAAUCUAUAAAUAUUUUGAAAGGAAAAAAAAUAGCUUGUAAGUUAGAGGUUAUGUAUGUAUGAUUAUUUUUAAAGUAAAACAUGAGUCCAGAUAUUAAAACCCUUGGUAUCAUGGUGCAUUAAAUUAAAGGAAAGUAAGUAUGCUGGUUUGAUUUUUAUAUCUAACAAUGAAAUGAAUUAAUAAAAAUAACUCCAUUUGAAAGUCAGAUUGCUAUAUUUUAGACAGCCGGGAGAAUGGAGACACUGCUAAUACUGAUUUUUUUGAGCACAGUGUAAGUGCAGCAUAAGAAAUUCUCUUGGUGAUGGAUGACAUGCAAACUGAAUAGCAAUUUUAAAUAUUGUAUUAGAGAAAAUCAUAGAAAGGUACCCUUACUAUUUAAUUGCUAUUUCAAGUGGUUGUUUGCUUGUUUCUUUUUGUUUCCACCCCAUGCCCCAUAAAUGUUUCCAUAAGUUGACUAAGUCUGUACUCAUUAGCACAUGAACCAGGGACUCCAGUUCCUCACUGUAGUGGGUGUCCCAGUCUAAAAUAAAGUCUUUUUAAAGAAGAUGGUGAAAAAGGGAGCAGAGGUAGAUAGUGAAAUACCAUGUUUGAAACUAUAAAACAUGUCAAAUUUGUCAAGUUUGAAUAAAAGUAACUUCAUUUGUAUGUUUAUAUUUUUAAGGCAAAUGAGAAACACAUCUACAAUUAGAGUCAUCAACACUAGUCCUACCAAAGCAGUGUAAGCUUCUUAUCUGGGCUUUUAAAUGUGUGGCCAAAUGGUUAAGUCCGGUGACAGAAUAACAGUCGAUCAGUCAAAAUCUGAUACUGUUACCUAGGUAUGCCAACGAUGCUAAGAAGAAUAUGUGCAAAAGUAAAGAGGAGAGAAAUCAGAAAGAUUUAAGUGAAGAGAAUGAUCUGUUCAAGAUGGUGGUGAAUAGGACACCAACAAGUAGAUGUGUAAUGUAGCAUGAAGAGCACAAGUGGGUUGAUUUGAAAAUCUAGAAGAGUUAAUAUUCAAAACAGGGGUGGAGUGGACAGUAGUCUAGAAAACACAACUUUUAGAAUUAAAUGUUAAAAGAAUAAUUCUAUUAUUUUAGAAAGUAGGAAGGGGUCAGUUGACCAUUGUGCAGUCAAUACUACCAAUAGAAGUUGUCUUUUUUUCAGUGAGUUUUCCCAUUGAUGUUUGAUCAUUAACCCAUUUUAAAGUGGGUCAUUUUCUGCAUCACAGUUCAGUGACUGUCAGUGAUUCUCAAGCUGUCACCACGCACUUAAUAGGAAACAAUUUCGUUAGACCAGACAUGUGAGCAGUAAGUUGAUAUAGUCUGAACUGAAAUAUAGAAUGAGAAGGUGACAUGGCUUGACUCUAUGUUUCCACCCAAAUUGUAUGUGAAAUUGUAAUCACCACAUGUUGAAGGAGGAGCCUGGUGGAAGGUAAUUGGAUCAUGAGGGUGAUUUCUAAUGGUGUAAUACCAUCCCCUUGGUGCUGUCUCAUGAUAGAGUUCUCACGAGAACUGGUUGUUUAAACAUGUGUGGUACCUUCCCCUUCUCUCUAGCUCUCUCUCUUGCCACGAUGAGAAGAAGGUCCUUGCUUCCCCUUUGCUUUCCGCUGUGACUGUAAGUUUCCUGUGGCUUCCUGUUAAACCCCAAAAAUGGGGAUGUAGGAAAUGAGGGAAUUACAAGAAGAGCCAACUGGAAACUUUGCAUAGAAACAAUACACACAAAAUCCGGGCUCAUGUUUUCCUUGGGGUAAAUAUAAUUCAUAUCUUUCAAAGCAUUAAAAGAGUUUUUUGGGUUUUAUUUUUGUUUGUUGGUUUGUUUUUUGGUAACAACAAUCAUAUUUGAAUGCUAACACCCGGGCAUUUUUAACAGUUGUGUCUUUCUCUUUUAAAAUGUCAGUUAUGAUAGUGAAUGUGCUCUCACAGAAUAAGGUGGUGGUGAAAAAUAUAUUCAGUGUCCCCAAUUAAUGGAGACACAAAUUAAUCAUCAGUUAUCAGUAUGGAUCUUUUAAGUUCAUGGAAAUGCAUAUUCUGCACUUGGAAAAUAAUAAUUCUUGAAAUUCUUGAAAUGUGUAGCAGUUCUAGGUAAUUGCAUUUUUGGAUUCAAUUAUUUGAAGAAGGAUAAAUAAAAUUUUAGAAAUUUUAUUGAAGAAUAAUUCUGUGAGCCAUCUUUUCUUUUCUUUUUCUGGGGCAGUAAUAGUAUAGUGCACUUUAUAUGCAUUAGUCAAAUAUCUGUUCUUUUUAAUAAUAUGAAACAUGGCUAAUGUCUUAAAAAAUACUCAUGUGAGAAAACCCUCGACUCUUUCAGAAAGAGGUUGACAUAUACACACAACGUGCAUAUGAUACAUUUACUUAUUUAUUCAAAAGUACUUAUUAAAUGCUAAUUCCAGGCCAGUGAUUAUUGUAAUUACUCAACAGACAGAGAAGUUCUCUGCUUCUGAGGAGUUUACAAUUUGGUGUGCAAGACUGUGUGGUGGAGAUAAUCUGUGAUUUAUCUGUUUUUGCUGAAACUGCAAAACAAUCAGCUUCUGGAUGCCAAGCAUCUCCUCACACCAUCUCCCCAGGCCUUGCUGUAGGCAUACACCUAGCUAGCCUUUCUAAAAAUAUAUUUUAAUUGAUCUAUGUUAAAAAAAUCUUUAGUUUCUUUCUUUCAUGCACUGACCAAAAUCCAAACAUUGUUAUUCUGGAUUUAAGACCUUUUCAAAUCUCAUUACAAUUUACCUGUCCUCUGACUACCUUCCUUUCCAGCCUGUUACCUACAUCCCUUUCUUUAUAGUACAUACCACCAUCAGACAUUACUUUAUUUAUCAGAAUGAGGCUUUUAAGGACAUAGUCUUGGUUUAUGUUUUUCUUCUCACCACUUCCCAGUAACUAGGACAGGAUUAGACAGUUAGGUAAGGCUCUAUCAAUGUGCCACAACUAAAACUUACCCUCCAGGUGGCUAACUGUUGUUUUUGAAAGCACUUUAUACGUUUCCAUCUGAACUUUGUGUACGUUCUGUCUGCCUGGAAAGCAUUUCCAGCAAUUCUCACCUCGUUGUUUGUAGUGAAUUGUUCAAACUCCUUGUCUGCUUUCUAUCUCCUGCCUGUACACUGACUGAUACAGGUGGGUAAUGAAGAUUUUUCCUCAAAAACGAUGGUUUUCAAGAUUGGAUUAAGUGGAGAUAAGGUUUGUUAGCUAACUCGUAUAGCUAUUUCUCAUUAAAUAGUGUUUCUCUUGCACGUUUUUACUCAGAAACUCUCACCAAACAAAAACCCUUCCUUCAUUUUUUUUGUAUGAUCUUACC